rnacentral:rRNA from 1 species
UACGAAGGGGGGCUAGCGUUGUUCGGAUUCACUGGGCGUAAAGGGUGCGUAGGUGGCGGGGUAAGUCGGAUGUGAAAUCUCCGGGCUCAACCCCGGAAAUGGCAUUGGAUACUAUUCGGCUAGAGGUUUGGAGGGGGGGACUGGAAUUCUCGGUGUAGCAGUGAAAUGCGUAGAUAUCGGGAGGAACACCGAUGGCGAAGGGCAGCCCAUCUGGACCGACACUGACGCUGAGGCGCGAAAGCGUGGGGAGCAAACAGGA